rnacentral:rRNA from 1 species
UAGUAACGGCGAGUGAACAGGGAAAAGCCCAGCACCGAAGCCUGUGGCCGUUUGGUCUCUAGGCAAUGUGGUGUUCAGGUCAGCUCGCAGAGAUACUGCUCCACCCUAAGUCCUGUAAUGAGUAAGGUUACUGGAGCGGCCCACAGAGGGUGAAAGGCCCGUGGGGGUGGAGAUGCAGAUGAGUCAGUGUCUCUAUGAGUGGACCUUGGAGUCGGGUUGUUUGUGAAUGCAGCCCAAAGUGGGUGGUAAACUCCAUCCAAGGCUAAAUACUGGCACGAGUCCGAUAGCGAACAAGUACCGUGAGGGAAAGUUGAAAAGUACUUUGAAGAGAGAGUAAACAGUGCGUGAAACCGCUCAAAGGUAAACGGGUGGAGUUGAACUGCAAGCUCCGGGAAUUCAACUGGUGAGUGUGAUGUGAGCUUGGCACAUAGUUGUACAUCUGGGUCUGCUUAGCUGCAGGUCUCCGCCUCUGGUGGGGAUGCGCGAAUCACUUAUCAUGUGUUGUGCGCCCGGGCUGUGUCGAACUGGCUCGCCAGUGCACUUUCUCGGAGUAGUCACCACGACCGGCGUUGCUGCCUUGCUGUUGCGGUUAAACCGGCCUUGUAGGGUCCCUGUGGCCUUGCUUGGUCGGGAUGGCAGGUAGCCCGUUGUGUACUUUUGUGCGCCUCGGGUGUAAUAGCUGACUGCAUCGGUUUUGUGCGGUACGUCAGGANACNGGCGGCUUGUUGUGCGUGCGUGCGUACCUUNUGCGCUGGCGGCGCUGGGUCCGGUUGCCAUGUUGCUUGUGAAUGCAGGCCUGGCGAUGGCUCGGUGUUGUUCGGUGUACGGAUGCGUGUGUGGCACUUUGAAGGGCCAAUAGUCUGUGGUGUAGUGGUAGACUAUCCACCUGACCCGUCUUGAAACACGGACCAAGGAGAGUAACAUGUGCGCGAGUCAUUGGGCGUUACGAAACCCAAAGGCGAAGUGAAAGUAAAGGUUCGGCUUGUCCGGACUGAAGUGAAAUCCUGUCGUUUCUCAAGCGCGGUACCACCAAGCAUCGAGCGGCAGGGGCAUCACCGGCCCGUCCCAUGGCGUAAA